rnacentral:lncRNA from 7 species
GGAAGAUUGACAACGUCAGGCAACUAGGGGUUUCCUGAGAGAUUUCUGUACAGAGAAGCUCAGACACAGCUGCUGAAAGACGAGGAUGAAGGUUCAGAUGAGCAGAGUAAGAAUGCAGCCAUGCAGAGCAUCUCCAGACUUCCAUCAAGCUCUGCUCAGCCAAUGUACCAUGCUUGGACAAACAUGGUGCAGUUGCCAAUUGAUCUGUCAUAUUGUGGUUUUCAAAGAUGAACUGAGAAUGCUGUGAAAGGAGCUUGCUGUUGAAGAGCUGCCGAAAGACCUGGAGUAGGGACUUACAUUUUCAGCGUGGCUAACUUUCACUGACAUUGAAGAUGUCUCACUCAGAAGAUCAUCAAACCCAUGUUUUCUCUUCCUCUUCAGCAGACAAAGCUUCAUUCAUUUGAUGUGGAGAAGCUGAAGAAACUAAUUUUCUUCUUGAAAUAAGUGUGAAUUCUUUUUAUCUAGUGAUUUAACAACUCCUGACAAUGCUUACAUUUCACUUCAGAAAAAUUAGCUGUUUUCCUAAGUUCAGUCUUUCACUAAGUCUUUUAGUAUUCCCUUUCUCAACUCAGGCUAAUAUAGAAAGAAGUUAUGUAAUAGCUUCUUCAAAAUGACCUAUCAGUUGUACUAAUAAAAAAAAAACUUUCACAUUUACUACAAUUAGCAUUAAAAAAAAAAAACAAACAAAUUUUUUGAAUCUAACACCGCAAAGAAUGAAAAUAAGAUGUGCUGAAUUCUUACUGAAUUAGAAGUCAAUUUAAAGCUCUCAGUGCAGUAUUUUUAAAAGUUUGUGAAGGAAAGACAUGAGGAAAAGGGUAAAUGAAGAUGGAUUAUAGAUGAUGGUGAUUUUACAGUGAAGACACGGAGAUCGUUUUUGGUCUAAAUAUCCACUACUUGUAAGUAGUAACAGCUUCUGCCCCCAACUGCAUGGUACUUCACAGACACACAGAAAGUCCUCCCAGCAUUUGCUUUAUACAAAUCAAAAUUCCUGUUUCCUUACUCAACUUUAUUUAAGUGUGUACUGGCAAGAAAUGUUCCUUUCACAUAAGAUGCCACUGAAAAGGAUGUUAGAAGCUCAACUCAUUUACCUUCAGAAAUAUCAAGAAUCUGAGCACAGGUAGUCUGAACAUAAAGAAUUCCAGUAAUAGAGAUCUGACAUCACCUCCUGACAACACCUUUCUGUGCUUCAUUAGUCCUACUUUUAGAAAACUCCAAACCUGAAUUUAUCUUUUUGCAUUUUAAAAUUCAUUUCUUGUUCUGUUCGUGGUAACCUGGAGAAAAAAUAAUCCUUUUCUUUCUGAGGCAGCCCAGAAGACACACCUGAAGGCACGUUUCUUCUCAGACUUUUUUCCUGUACACUAAACAACACCAGUUCUUCAAACUUUCCUCAGAAAUGUUUUAGGCCCUGAUCACUCUCACUGUUCUCCUUUGGAUUCACCAGAGUUAACCCACUUCCUUUGUGAAUUAUAAUGCUAAAUGCUAACUACAAUAACCUAGGUGAGACCUUAAUGAUGCUGAGUCCUCUUAUUUCCCAAGUUUUACAAGCUACAUUUCUGAUUUAGCAUUGAAAGUUGUCCUACUCUAUCCCCCUAACCCUCUGCUAAGGGACUAGCCAUUUAUUUCCUAUUCCAAGCUGUUAAAGCUGUCUAUUCCCACCUAAAUAUGAAGUUUCACCUUUCUCCAUUUCGAAUCUCAUCCAAUUGUCCAGAUUGCUUCUCCAACUGGCCAAGACCAUUUUGAAUUUGAAUUCUAUACUCUAACUUGUUGUUACCAGCCUACUGCCAUCUGUAGAUAGAAUAAACAUAUUCUGUAUUCCAUCCUCAACUCACAAAUGAAAAUACCAAGUAAUGCAUGACACAGGAGAGACACUUGUACAAAGCAGUUGAUUUAUCUUUCCUGUUUGACAGUGUUAAUUACUUUUGCUAUUUUGCAACUAUGUUGCUAACUACUGUUCAAGUAUGAUUUCCAAAUAAUGCUCCACUCAUCUUAAAAACAUGGUGUUCAUAUAGUCUCACUGCUUUGCUUAUAAGAAAUGUAGCAUUUAGCUAUGACAGGUAAAGAUUAUUGAAGACCUUGUUAAAGUCAAGAUAAUUAACAUCUAUUAUU